AUUGGCUGCCGGGGCGGCGGGCACGUGCUGAGCCGAGCCCGAGGCGGCCGCCCCGCCCCGCCCCGCGUCGUCGUGUCGCGACAUGUGGUAUCGCGGCGGAGCCGGCCCCCCCCCCCCCCCGGCGGCGGGCGGGGCGCGGUCCCGGGAGGCCCCGCUCUGCGAACGGCCCGCGCCCGGGAGUCCGCGCCUCAGCGCCGGGCAGCUCCCUCGCGCCGGCAGCCUUGCCGCUCCGGCCCGCGCGACCCCAGGAAGGGCAGCGCGGGCUGCAGGAGCCCCAGCCCCGCGCAGGCCGCUCUGCCCGACCCGGGCCCGGCCGCCGCCGCAGACCGUUCGCGAUGCGAGGUGGCGCAUGUCGCAGGCUCGCUCGCGCGCGGCUGAAGGGAGGUGUGCGCGGCGCUGUGCAGACACCAGGGGCAUCCCAACAGCGCUUCUGUUGCUCGGAGCUGUCGGUGUCCGCCCCAAGGACACGUCUGUGCUGCCUGGGGUGCCAUCUGGCCCCGCACGCGGAAACAAGGGCUCGCGGGCGCUCAGUAGCCUCGUGCAGAAGACGGCAAGUUCUGCCUCUGCAGAGCGACAUGUCCCUAGGUCCCCUAAUGCGAGUUUGAUUUCCUAGUCCCUAAUAACGGCAUUGCUUUCAUUGUUGCUCGGCAAGACAGCUGGCUCCUAGAGAGUCUCGGCGUGGCCGGAGGCGAGGUGGCGGCAGGGCGACCAGCGCAGAACCAAGGUCACGGGACGUUUGCUUCACCCACGUGCCGCUGCCACGCGGUCCUGGAGUUGUGAGACGUGAAACAAGCACCCGCGUCCAUCCACCCUCGAGAUGGCUGUUUCUGCAUGACGACCUCAGCCGAACCGCAGCUGCCGGCCGUGCGCGUCUGACAGCCUGCCUCUCCCUGAGAAGGAAAGGGAACGGCAAACCUGUGGUGGGGCCGCGUCGGGUCUCAGGUGCCGCCGGCCAGAGGACUGCUUCCAGGGCUUCCAACCAGUGACCUGAGCACCUGCAACCUUUAGGGUUUGUUAGAUGCGAUGAAUGACCCUAGGUAGAGAUUUAUGUCCUGUAAAAUCUCUGCCAGGUCCAGAGAACAGCAGUUUAGGGCUCUGUGAAUGUAUUCCUUAAGCUUCUCUUUGUGCUGGCUCCCUAAAUACAGAAGCCGGGACGAGCCUCAGCAUUCCGAGCCCUUAAUGGACUGGCUGUUCGUCAGUGGGAUAACUCCUUUCCCUUCACAAACUCCCACGACAGCUCGGGAAGAGGCCACUGUUUAAGAUAUGGAGACAAGCAAGUGAAAAUAUGUUCCCAGCAUCUUCACUGGGCUGCUCAGCCAGAGCAUUUGAACUCCCACAGGAGCAGGGGAGAUUUGCCAUAUCAAGUGCAGAAUAUUUCAGGGUUUGUAGUAUUCUCUGUCCCUUAGCACAGCGGGAUGUCAAUUCAAACAUCUCAGAGACAAGUAGCUCACAACGCUGCAAGGAAAUGGAAAACUCUGGGUUUGACAAGUAACCAAGCUGCUGCUGCUGCUGGGCAGUUUUGUGACGGCUUUCACAAAGAAACCAAUUGUAUCAGAGAGCUGGGAUAGCGCCUCUGAAAUGAAAACUCAAACUUGCCAACUUGUUUGGAGGGCAAAUUGAUAUUCCAGAGCCCUGAUGGUAGUGAUCUCAGCUCUGUCUUGAGAUUUAGACUUAGACAUCCCCUCUGGAGAAUAUCACAUGGCUUCUCUCCUCUGUAAUUGACAGUUUAGAAUCGCUUUGUUGUCUGACAUCGUUUGUGAGUAGACCUAAUUAAAAAGUAGGAUAAAGGGUGUCAUUGAUCAGUCAGUUAGUGGGCAAAACCCUAAGCUGAUGUCAAAUGAUUUGACAAGUACAGCCACAUCAGGUGUCCCAGAUGUAACACAGUUUUGAUUUGCAGAAUAAAAAAAGAAUAAAAGUACUCUAUAAGUUA